AAAGGCCCUUUCAGACUGUUAU
rnacentral:miRNA from 1 species